rnacentral:rRNA from 1 species
GAACUGACUUAAGUCUUGUAUUGGAUGAUGGGAAUCUAAACCCUUCCCAGAGUAUCAAUUGGAGGGCAAGUCUGGUGCCAGCAGCCGCGGUAAUUCCAGCUCCAAUAGCGUAUAUUAAAGUUGUUGCAGUUAAGAAGCUCGUAGUUGAAUUUCUGCCUUGUCAUUAAUCUCGCUUCCGAGCGUUUUUUUAUUGACUUGGCAUCUUCUGGAUUUGGUGCCUUCGGGUACUAUUUUCCAGGAUUUACUUUGAGAAAACUAGAGUGUUUCAAACAGGCAUUCGCCUUGAAUACUACAGCAUGGAAUAAUGAAGUAGGACUUUGGUUCUAUUUUGUUGGUUAUUGAGCCAGAGUAAUGGUUAAUAG